UACGGGGGGGGGGCAAGCGUUGUUCGGAAUUACUGGGCGUAAAGGGCUCGUAGGCGGCCAACUAAGUCGGAUGUGAAAUCCCCAGGCUUAACCUGGGAACUGCAUCCGAUACUGGAUGGCUUGAAUCCGGGAGAGGGAUGCGGAAUUCCAGGUGUAGCGGUGAAAUGCGUAGAUAUCUGGAGGAACACCGGUGGCGAAGGCGGCAUCCUGGACCGGCAUUGACGGCUGAGGAGCGAAAGCCAGGGGAGCAAAACGGGG
rnacentral:rRNA from 1 species